UCGACUCCGAGACUCCGCAACCACAAAGAAGACAGAAGACCAAUUUACUGUCUCUGAGAUUCGAGUCGACUCCCAGACAGCUAGAGUCGACUCCAAGGCAGCUCUACAUCAAAAAGACAGAAGACAGUGUUUCGGAAACUGAGAGCUGAGUCGACUCCGGGGAAGUUCGAGUCGACUCCAAGACUGGACGAGGCAAAAGACAG
rnacentral:lncRNA from 1 species